CACGGGCUCGCCGGAUCUCACGAUUGGGGCGCUGGCGACAUGCUCUCUUGCUCGUCCCCCAGUGUCCUCGUGAGCACUAGACCAGCCCCUCAGUUGCCGGCCACAGCGCCCCCAUUUCCCCCAGGUGAGAAACCGUCGGGAGAGGCAACUGCCACGGCGCGCCACUCCUCCAAUCGCACAACGGUCCCACCCCGCGACGCCGGACUCCAUGGCCCUGGCCUCGCCUUGCCCCGGGUGCGGCCACAGCCCCUGCCCGGCGACGCCCCUCCCAAAUCUGGCAAGAUCGACGCCAUGCCGAGCCACCACCAUCCGAGCGCGCCGCCCACUGUCGUCCCUAUGUCACCCCCCCUUCUCCAGCAAACCUUCUCCGGUGGAUCCUGCCGCGUGUGCAAGCUACCACAGAUCCUGGGUUGCCUCUAGAAACACGUCGACGUCCAGCGUGACUCCAGCACCCCUGUGCACUCCCUCAACAGGCUAUCAUCCAUGGUUUGGCGUUGUGUUUUAUCUGCUAUUCGUUGAAGUGGAGGUCCUGGCAGAUCAAUUCAAUGCAGUUUUGGUCACAAAAUAAUGACCAGCCACAGAUUCACAAUCGCGAUCCAGAUCGAGGAGCGAGCAGUCUGAGCGUCUGCAGACUUGAAGUGCGCCUGGCCGCGGCGCAUGGCCGUGCAACCCACUAUUUGAAUUUUGUUUGUGUUUUGAGGUGGUUCACGUGGCGUUGGCAUGCAGUGCGGCACCCAUGUGCGUGCAGUCCACGGAGAUAGGGGCAGGACGAUGGUGUUUUUUUGUGUAUUUUGCUCACGGUUGACAUUUUUCCCCUUUUCAGGUUUUUGCUGCGAUCCCAUGGCCACACAGGUGCAAUGCUGUGAGGGCUGGACAUGCAGUGCGUCGGGGCCGGCUUGCAUUUCAUGGACAAAAAUGUGGAUUUAUUUUUUAAGUCCUUCGUCAUUGUAAUAUGUGUACUGUUGAUUAAAAAGAGGAUCACUGCAGUUCGUUCGCCUUGUCUCGUAGCCCAGAGAUGUAUAGAUGGCAGCUCUCUCAAAAACAUGCAUUGAAGGAAACAACAAAAACCUUUUUUUAGUGCA